rnacentral:rRNA from 1 species
AACGAACGCUGGCGGCGUGCUUAACACAUGCAAGUCGCGUGCGCAGUUCCGUAGCAAUACGGGAUCGGCGCACGGCGCACGGGUGCGUAACACGUGGGCAAUCUGCCCUCUGAUGGGGAAUAACCCCGCGAAAGCGGGGCUAAUACCGCAUAAGAUUCCUUGGACGAUGGUCCGAGGAUUGAAAGCAGUGAUGCGUCGGAGGAGGAGCCCGCGCCCGAUUAGCUAGUUGGUGAGGUAAUGGCUCACCAAGGCAAUGAUCGGUAGCUGGUCUGAGAGGAUGAUCAGCCACACUGGAACUGAGACACGGUCCAGACUCCUACGGGAGGCAGCAGUGGGGAAUCUUGCACAAUGGGCGAAAGCCUGAUGCAGCGACGCCGCGUGGGGGAUGAAGCAUCUCGGUGUGUAAACCCCUUUCGAUUCGGACGAAUGCCCGCAAGGGAGUGACGGUACGGAUAUAAGAAGCCCCGGCUAACUACGUG